GGGGCAUUAGCUCAGUUGGUUUAGAGCGCCUGCUUUGCAAGCAGGAGGUCAUCGGUUCGAACCCGAUAUGCUCCACCA
rnacentral:tRNA from 1 species